rnacentral:rRNA from 1 species
UACGGGGGGAGCAAGCGUUGUUCGGAUUUACUGGGCGUAAAGGGCGCGUAGGCGGUCAGCACAAGUCAGUUGUGAAAUCUCCGGGCUUAACUCGGAAGGGUCAACUGAUACUGUGCGACUAGAGUGCGGAAGGGGCAACUGGAAUUCUCGGUGUAGCGGUGAAAUGCGUAGAUAUCGAGAGGAACACCUGCGGCGAAGGCGGGUUGCUGGGCCGACACUGACGCUGAUGCGCGAAAGCCAGGGGAGCGAACGGG